CCUACGGGAGGCAGCAGUGGGGAAUCUUGCGCAAUGGGCGAAAGCCUGACGCAGCCAUGCCGCGUGAAUGAUGAAGGUCUUAGGAUUGUAAAAUUCUUUCACCGAGGACGAUAAUGACGGUACUCGGAGAAGAAGCCCCGGCUAACUUCGUGCCAGCAGCCGCGGUAAUACGAAGGGGGCUAGCGUUGCUCGGAAUUACUGGGCGUAAAGGGAGCGUAGGCGGAUAGUUUAGUCAGAGGUGAAAGCCCAGGGCUCAACCUUGGAAUUGCCUUUGAUACUGGCUAUCUUGAGUACGGAAGAGGUAUGUGGAACUCCGAGUGUAGAGGUGAAAUUCGUAGAUAUUCGGAAGAACACCAGUGGCGAAGGCGACAUACUGGUCCGUUACUGACGCUGAGGCUCGAAAGACGUGGGGAGGCAAACAGGAUUAGAUACCCUGGUAGUCCACGCUGUAAACGAUGAGUGCUAGUUGUCGGCAUGCAUGCAUGUCGGUGACGCAGCUAACGCAUUAAGCACUCCGCCUGGGGAGUACGGUCGCAGAUUAAAACUCAAAGAGUAGUACGGCGUGAGACGUAGCGACGGAGACACACGGGAGGUUAGGAGG
rnacentral:rRNA from 1 species